UACAGAGGUCUCAAGCGUUGUUCGGAUUCAUUGGGCGUAAAGGGUGCGUAGGCGGCGCGGUAAGUCGGGUGUGAAAUCUUGGAGCUUAACUCCGAAACUGCAUUCGAUACUGCCGUGCUUGAGGACUGGAGAGGAGACUGGAAUUUACGGUGUAGCGGUGAAAUGCGUAGAUAUCGUAAGGAAGACCAGUGGCGAAGGCGGCUACCUGGACAAUUGCUGACGCUCAGGCACGAAAGCCGUGGGGAGCAAAAGGG
rnacentral:rRNA from 1 species